GACGAACGCUGGCGGCGUGCUUAACACAUGCAAGUCGAACGGUGAAGCGCCUUCCUUUUUGGUGGGUGUGGAUGAGUGGCGAGCGGGUGAGUAACACGUGAGUAACCUGCCCCCUUCUUCUGGAUAACCGCAUGAAAGUGUGGCUAAUACGGGAUAUUCUGGGUCUGUCGCAUGAUGGGUCUGGGAAAGAUAUUGUUUCGGUGGGGGAUGGGCUCGCGGCCUAUCAGCUUGUUGGUGGGGUGAUGGCCUACCAAGGCGGUGACGGGUAGCCGGCCUGAGAGGGUGGACGGUCACACUGGGACUGAGACACGGCCCAGACUCCUACGGGAGGCAGCAGUGGGGAAUAUUGCACAAUGGGCGCAAGCCUGAUGCAGCGACGCCGCGUGAGGGAUGGAGGCCUUCGGGUUGUGAACCUCUUUCGCCAGUGAAGCAGGCCUGCCUCGUUUGUGGGUGGGUUGACGGUAGCUGGAUAAGAAGCGCCGGCUAGCUACGUG
rnacentral:rRNA from 1 species